GACAGAAUAUUUUUUUUUGCAGAAAUAAAGAAAUGAUUGCUGGUGACUUUCUGAGAAAAGCUCACCGACUCACCAACAGCUGCGUGGAAAUGGGAAAGUGCGUCGGCCAGCUGUCCGGCAGCCAGGAGCUUCUUCCCCAUCUCCAGGUAAGGUGAUAUCCAUCCAUCCAUCUUCAAUACUACUUAUCCUUCAGGGUCACGGGGAACCUGGCGCCUAUCCCAGGGAGCAUCGGGCACAAGUAUAUCCUGGACAGGCCAAUCCAUUACGGCACAAUCACAUACACACUCGCACACCCAUUCAUACACUACGGACACUUUUAGACAUGCCAAUCAGCCUACCAUGCAUGUCUUUGGACUGGGGGAGGAAACCGGAGUACCCGGAGGAAACCCCCACAGCACGGGGAGAACAUGAAAACUCCGCACACACAGGGCCUCAGUGGGAAUCGAGCCCCCGACCCUGGAGUGAGGCGAACGUGCUAACCACUAAGCCACCAUCCACCUGAAAAAUGGCAGUGAUCCGUACGGAAGCCGAAGGAAUCGACUCAUAUUGAAGAGCUAAGCCAAAGGAUUCGGUUCACUUAAAAGAGCCAGUGCUUUCCAUCAUUGAAGGAAGUGAAGUGCGCGGUGAAAAAGCAUCAUAAUGGACGCUACAGUGGCAUGUAAUAAUUGUGGCUUACCGUACACGUUGUCUGGUAAAAAAAUGUUUUAAACAAAUUCUCUGUAUUUACUUAUACAAGUAUUUUCCGGACGCAUCUUGGUUACACACUGCUGAAUGCGCUGAAUGCAAUGUGGGUUCAGAACACACCUAAUUAACCUAAUUAGCUAGUGAACCUUUGACAAUUAGCAGACUACAUCCUCAAUGUGAGCGUUUUAAAGUUAAACAGUGAGACUUAAUUGAUAAACAUGGCCUUCGAGUUAGCUUGAGUUUAGUUGGCUAGCUAGCUAACGUCUUGCAUUAAAGCUUAAUUUUCUUUUUUUUUUUUUUUUGCAGCGUGGUUUCUUAAAAAUGAUAAAUAACCAAAUUCCACACAGCAAAUGUUAGCCAUGUGAAAUGUUAAGAAGAGCAGUGGGGGAAAUUUCCCUAUGUGAUGUUUAGCUUCAUAAAUAAGUGCACUUGAUGUUUUUUUGGUGGUUUUAUUGCUGUUUACAGAGGGUAAGGUUGUGGGGAGGCUGCCCCAUGUGCUCUUCUGUGUGGAGUGUCUCUGCUCUCUGGAGUGUCCUCAGGACUCCAACUCUGUCCCCUCAGUCAGCUGUCCCGAGUGUAGGGUGAGCACUGUUCACAACUCCUGUCCAUGCAGCCAUCACUCCCUUACUGCGCUACAGCAUGUCAACCAGCUUUCACAACUCUUUUUAGGGAAAGUAGCUAAAGCAUGCUCAAUUUGUCACCAGAUGACACCAUAGAUUACAUUUUUUCUAAUUACUUAUGAUAUGGCAAUGAAUAUUACUAACUAGUUUUAAAAAAGAAAGAAAGGCAGAUAGGGUGCCGAUACUUGUAGAGUUGCAUAGAUAUAUCAUGAACAUGCACAUUUUUUAAACGCGUCUACAAAUGAAGAAGGCAGGCAAAAAGAAGUCGUGAAAGGUGAGUAGUCUGAAGGAAAUGGUUACUCGUUUGUAAGUAUCAACAAGAAAAGUGUUUAAAAUGAAGAACUAUGGGACAGUAAAGUUAUUAAAACAUAACUUUCUCAGAUUUACUAAGUAGAUAACACUAGUUGGUCAUUACUACACCCCAUAACGUUAGAUAAGUGUGUCCGAGUUUAGUAUUUAUGCAGACCUUUUAUUUAUUUUUUAUUCCUCCACCACUAAGUCUGUCCAUCCAUCUGAGGUUCUCAUUAAUGCAAUAUCUCAACCAGUGGUUGAAUGUUUGUAGGAAUUCUAUAGACUAUAUUGUUGUUGUAACCAGCAGAUGACUCAAUUAGUAUUUGGAAUUGAUCCAAAAAUAUAAGAGGUCACAGCAGUUUCAUGUUUAGGAACUCAAGGCCCUUUAUUGUUUUUUUUUGGCUAGCUACGGUUUUGCCAUCAUUCCAUGCUUCUGUGUGUCCUUGCUUUUGCAUGAGAUUCUUGUUUAGUGUGACAUCUCAAGAACGAAAGGUUGAAUGUUUUAUAGUGUAGCAGCAGCGGCAGGUGGAACACAGACAGAGUGAGACUGGUUAAGAGAGCUUUUAUUUUGUAGAAUGGGAGUGCAGAAGGGUCAUGGGACACUCUGUCCUGGGGCAGCAGUCUGUGAGGGAGGUGUUAGAGAGGAGUGUGGUCGCUAUGGGCCAGGCAGAGUGGUGUAGGUCGGUAGCAGAGUGCGGAGGAAGCGUAGGUAGUGGGGGGGAGAGAAUUGCUGUCAUCAUCGUCAUCUGCAAGACAUAGAACCGAAUUGAUCAGCGUAGACAAAAGCUGCUCAAGCUGCUGAGGUUGUGAUGCCCUUUUAUCCUCUCCAGUCUUCUCUGAGAGGGUGAGGAGUUGCAGUGUUUAUCUGCCGCAAUUUGUGCUCUAUUUCCCCACCUCAUGCUCUGCUGCAGUCGACAACAGUGGUGCUGAAAUGACUGUCUGUUCAGCACCCAGGUGGCAGUAGUGUGAGGAGCAUUUUUCACCUCUUCAACAGGUUCACGUGGAACCUGUACGUUUCUGCUCGCUUAUCGGCUGCUGCAGAUGUUAUCGUCAGCUGCUGGAGGCUGGCCUCCAUUAGUUGCUGCAGCAUGGAAUCCAUGUUUUUAUUUUUAAAUUUUUUAUUAUUAUUAUAUAUUUUUUCCUUUAUUUUUUUAUUUGGCCGCGUCUGUGCUCAUUCCCGUAUCCUUCACCAGACUUACAAAUGAGAAAAUACAAGCAAAGCAAUAUAUCAAGCAGAGAACACUGCAAGUAGUGCUACAAUAGAAGAUUUUUAAUUGAGUUCUAGAAGAUGCAAAAAUGUAAUCAGCCCUGAGAUUCUAACCAGCGACCUUGGCGUUCUUACCACCACACACUAACUAACUGAGCUACAUUGCCAUAUAUAUAAUAUAUCAUAAUAGUUUCGAAGAGAAUUUUUAAGCGAAUAUUUUUAAGUGUCCAAAAUUAUAUGGACGGCGCUCCGUGCAGCGGGGAAAGCACUCAGACAUAGCCCGGGGAGGGAGCGUCAUGUCGCACAGACUCUGGCCAGCUCCAGGCCGAUCAUCGCUGAUUUUUUUCCCUGGGCGUUGAAGAGUUAUCAUUGAUGAAAUUGUUACUUUACAUUUAUUUGGUAAAAAGCUUAGACUUUUUUGGAACAUUCGGCCGUUACAUCGGGUGAUGAACAGUUCCCAGAUAGCAAGCACAUUUGGGCCGAUUCUGGUAGAAAUGCGCCACUGUCGGCUCAAUUCAGCUAAAAUUAAGGAGCUCAGCCGCCUGGAAAACACUUUUGACGGUUAAAUCAGUUAGGAUACUCGAGGCUGCAGUCAUUCUUCGUUUUCAAGAGGAAUCAUUUCAGCUGAAGAAGACAGCGAUAAAGAGGGCAGGACCUGGCCAGACCUCCAGUCAGACGUGGAAGUGUCUGGGUAAAGACCACCAAGGUCCAUGCUGAGGGAGGUGUUAACUAAAUUAGAGAUGGUGCUGGACCAACAAACCACUGAGAUUGCUUCAACUACAGGAGGUCCAGGUGCAGCCUUUGGAUAUUGAUGAAGAUUUACUGCCCCUGCAAGACCUUCCUCAACUGUGUAGUCUGGAGCGAAGGAUGCAACAGAGCCCAGAUUACAAGCAAAAUCUGUUUCAGGUAAACUGGUUGGAGCUUAUUGACAGGGCGGAUGUGCUCAACUGCACCUGGUGCAUAUUGGUGAUUACUAACUCCCUGGAAAAGAACCUCAAUUGGAGGGGAAUCAAUAGAAAGACUUCACUGUCCGCUCUCCAACUCGGAGAGGUCGUGAUUGUUCAUAGAAACCUCUUUACGGCUAAUGCUGCAGAGAUGGAGGUCGAGAGGACCAUGAAGAGGUGGCUCCAGCUGGCAUCAGAUCAAGAGUGUGGUGCAAGAGAAGUCUUUUGCAAAAGGAAGCUACCAGGAAUCCUGAAGAAGGACGAGUGCAUUGGAGCAGUCGUGCCGCAUGCGGGGGCAAACAUCAGGCUUCGGCAGACAGAGGUUCUGAAGAGGGCCAGCCUGAUCGAGACGGUAUGAGGCAGAUCACCCACCGCGAAGAUCAUCGUCUCUGGACCUCUUCCCUCAUACAGAUGUGGAGCUGAAAAGUUCAGUAGACUUCUAGCAUUAAAUGAUUGGUUAGUUUCUUGGUGUAAUUAACAGGAAUCUGCUGUUUGUUAAUAACUGGAAUCUGUUCUGGGAGCGUCCUAGGUUGUUUCGUCCUGAUGGCCUGCACUCCAGCAGCUUCGGAGCGGAACUGCUGUCAGACAACAUCUCCAAGACACUACAAACCAAGUGACUGCCUACCGUCAAAUUAUUCGUAAACAUGGAAUGAACUUCCACUGUUAUGCUGAUGAUACAGAGCUGUAUGUUUGCAACUGAACAAUAACAACAAUAAACAACAACUGAAGAAUAGCGAAAAACUCCAACUGUUUUCGUGCUUACUUGAAGACGAUGAGGCGGAGCAGCAUCGGAGAGACAGUUCGCUCCAUUCUCCAAAGAAUCGGGGAGAACAGUCUGUGGUGUAUGUUUUCGUUGAAAGCGCCAAAAGGUGGGAAGCUGGCUUUGACUGAUCAGGAUGAAGUGUAUGGCCUUGUACACUAUAUUGCCGAACAAGCACAUGGACGUGAAUAUACUGUUGCCGGUUGCAGAGAGGCCAUCGGCAGCUACCUAAAAAAUGCCCCAGGCAGGAAAAGUGUCAAGAAACACAUUAUGAGUGUUUAUGAUGAAGGUUAGAAUUUAAAUCUACAACUUCUGUGGUUCUUUUUCUUUUCUCAUUCAUACAAAUGUGCCAUUGUGUAACACUGUUGACUGACUCAUUAGUUUUUAUAUCCCUUUGAAAAGCAAAAACCUUUCCACUAUGCAUAUAACUGAAAGUGCAUACAUGCUCCAAACCUUUUGUGAAUACUGAUGAUUGAUUUGGAGGUUUCAAAUUAUGAGUGAAUUGUGGUUCACUUUCUUGCGAUCAGGAAUGUGUAGCUAAUGUCUGUAGUUUACUGAUUCCGAAAUUGUUGGUUCAGACUGCAUCAUAUAGUACUAGUAUAUAACAAUGAAAUGAAAUGCCAUAUAUUCAGAUAUAUCCACUGUCUGUUCACAGCAGAGCUACAUGGGAUCUCUAGUGCGUCCUGCAAGAAUUGGGCCUUAGUCCAGUUCAGAUUCAAUUUUGUAAUUCCUCUCCCUCGCGUGACAGCCUCCAAACAGUACAAUUCUAAUGAGCUUGAAUAUACGGAGAAUUCCAUUGGGUUUGAUGUCUGACUAAUAAUUUUUUUCUUUGAUUAGCAAUACAUAGGAACUAUAUCUGGCUAUUUUGUGUGUUACAAUAUUGAAUGUCAUUUUUCAGCUUUUAACUUCGUCUGCAUUUACUAAAAUUCAUGCAUGUUUAUUAAAAAUAUUCAUGGAGUUUGUUAAACUAUAUAAUUGUUGUCUGUCAUUCAUAAGAUUCGUCAUGCGAAUUCCAUAGACCAGAAUCUAACAUCCACAUUAUUGAAGCUUGUUUAAUUACGGGUUUGUUAAAGCAUGCGGUAUGUUAUAUGCUUUAAUUGUAUCUUGCCACAUAAUGUUGGAAAAUGAGUACUUGUGUACUUUUCAAGAAAUUAGAUACAAAAAGGAUUACACAUAUCUGAUUAGAAAAAAUAGCAUCAUAAUGUGUGUAACUUUGUGUAUAAAUAUUGUGUAGUGUAUUUACACCACAUUAUGAGGUGUAUAUACAGGCAAUUACAAAAUACUAUGUGCAUGUUGUUGAGUCUUUCUGGAAUUCUAUAUCCCUGUUUUAUAAAGCACUGAAUGGUUUGGGUCCAAUAUAUAUUUCUGAUCUACUGGUACAUUAUGAACCAUCCAGACCUCUGAGGUCAUCUGGAACAGGUCUGCUUUCUGUUCUCAGAGUCAAAACUAAAUGUGGAGAAGCAGCAUUUAGUUUUUAUUCUCCACAUAUCUGGAACAAACUCCCAGAAAACUGCAGAUCUGCCAAAACUGUCAGUUCUUUUAAAUCAAGACUGAAGAAUUUUCUUUUUGCUGCUGCUUUUAAAUCAAUCAUCAAGGUAUUUUAAUUAAUAUCUUAUGCUGCACUGUAACCUUUUUAAUCUUUUUUUAAUUUUAU